UGAGGAAUAUUGGUCAAUGGACGGAAGUCUGAACCAGCCAAGUAGCGUGCAGGAUGACGGCCCUAUGGGUUGUAAACUGCUUUUGUAUGGGGAUAAAGUUAGGGACGUGUCCCUAUUUGCAGGUACCAUAUGAAUAAGGACCGGCUAAUUCCGUGCCAGCGGCCGCGGUAAUACGGAAGGUUCAGGCGUUAUCCGGAUUUAUUGGGUUUAAAGGGAGCGUAGGCUGGAGAUUAAGUGUGUUGUGAAAUGUAGACGCUCAACGUCUGACUUGCAGCGCAUACUGGUUUCCUUGAGUACGCACAACGUUGGCGGAAUUCGUCGUGUAGCGGUGAAAUGCUUAGAUAUGACGAAGAACUCCGAUUGCGAAGGCAGCUGACGGGAGCGCAACUGACGCUUAAGCUCGAAGGUGCGGGUAUCAAACAGGAUUAGAUACCCUGGUAGUCCGCACAGUAAACGAUGGAUGCCCGCUGUUGGUACCUGGUAUCAGCGGCUAAGCGAAAGCAUUAAGCAUCCCACCUGGGGAGUACGCCGGCNACGGUG
rnacentral:rRNA from 1 species